rnacentral:rRNA from 1 species
GGCCAGGCUGAAGACUUUGCCGGAUUAGCUGAGAGGUGGUGCAGUGGCCGUCGUCAGUUCGUACUGUGAAGCAUCCUGUUAAGUCAGGCAACGAGCGAGACCCACGCCCACGGUUGCCAGCGUACUCUCUGGAGUGACGGGUACACUGUGGGGACCGCCGCUGCUAAAGCGGAGGAAGGAAUGGGCAACGGUAGGUCAGUAUGCCCCGAACUAUCCCGGGCUACACGCGAGGCUACAAUGGUCAGGACAAUGGGCAUCAACACCGAAAGGUGAAGGCAAUCUCUUAAACCUGUCCUUAGUUCGGAUUGUGGGCUGCAACUCGCCCACAUGAAGCUGGAAUCCGUAGUAAUCGCGUUUCAAAAUAGCGCGGUGAAUAUGUCCCUGCUCCUU